rnacentral:rRNA from 1 species
ACCUACGGGGGGCAGCAGUGGGGAAUCUUGCACAAUGGGGGCAACCCUGAUGCAGCGACGCCGCGUGAACGAUGAAGCCCUUCGGGGUGUAAAGUUCUUUCGACGGGAACGAUAAUGACGGUACCCGGAGAAGAAGCUGCGGCUAACUACGUGCCAGCAGCCGCGGUAAUACGUAGGCAGCGAGCGUUGUUCGGAGUUACUGGGCGUAAAGAGUGCGUAGGCGGUCAGCCAAGUUUGGUGUGAAAUCUCCCGGCUCAACUGGGAGGGUGCGCCGAAAACUGGUUGGCUAGAGUAUGGGAGAGGAAAGCGGAAUUCCUGGUGUAGCGGUGAAAUGCGUAGAUAUCAGGAGGAACACCUGUGGUGUAGACAGCUUUCUGGACCAAAACUGACGCUGAGGCACGAAAGCGUGGGUAGCAAACAGGAUUAGAUACCCGUGUAGUCCC